UGGGGAAUAUUGCACAAUGGACGGAAGUCUGAUGCAGCGACGCCGCGUGGGGGAUGAAGGCUUUCGGGUUGUAAACUCCUUUCAGUACAGAAGAAGCUUUAUUGUGACGGUAUGUGCAGAAGAAGCGCCGGCUAACUACGUGCCAGCAGCCGCGGUAAUACGUAGGGCGCGAGCGUUGUCCGGAAUUAUUGGGCGUAAAGAGCUCGUAGGCGGUUGGUCGCGUCUGUUGUGAAAGACCGGGCUUAACUCCGGGGCUGCAGUGGGUACGGGCAGGCUGGAGUGCGGUAGGGGUAACCGGAAUUCCUGGUGUAGCGGUGGAAUGCGCAGAUAUCAGGAGGAACACCGAUGGCGAAGGCAGGUUACUGGGCCGUUACUGACGCUGAGGAGCGAAAGCAUGGGGAGCGAACAGG
rnacentral:rRNA from 1 species